rnacentral:rRNA from 1 species
AGCGAACGCUGGCGGCAGGCUUAACACAUGCAAGUCGAGCGGGCAUCCUUGUGGUGUCAGCGGCAGACGGGUGAGUAACGCGUGGGAACGUGCCCUUCGGUUCGGAAUAACUCAGGGAAACUUGAGCUAAUACCGGAUACGUGCGAGAGCAGAAAGGUUUAUCUGCCGAAGGAUCGGCCCGCGUCUGAUUAGCUAGUUGGUGAGGUUACGGCUCACCAAGGCGACGAUCAGUAGCUGGUCUGAGAGGAUGAUCAGCCACACUGGGACUGAGACACGGCCCAGACUCCUACGGGAGGCAGCAGUGGGGAAUAUUGGACAAUGGGGGCAACCCUGAUCCAGCCAUGCCGCGUGAGUGAUGACGGCCUUAGGGUUGUAAAGCUCUUUUCUCCGGGACGAUAAUGACGGUGCCGGAGGAAUAAGCCCCGGCUAACUUCGUG